rnacentral:rRNA from 1 species
GAAGCGAAGCAGUGAUGUGAAGCAAAUCGCACCAAAGCCAGUCCCAGUUCGGAUAAGAGGCUGAAACUCGCCUCUUUGAAGUCGGAAUCGCUAGUAAUCGCAGAUCAGCAUGUUGCGGUGAAUACGUUCCCGGGUCUUGUACACACCGCCCGUCAAACCAUGAGAGUCACCAACACCCGAAGCCCGCCUUGGCGGCCUAAGGUGGGGGAGAUGAUUGGGGUUAAGUCGUAACAAGGUAGC